rnacentral:lncRNA from 10 species
GGGGGUCGGGUGGGGGAGAGAGGGGUUGUAUGUUGGAGGAGGGAAUAUGUAGGAAAUCAGGGUGACAUUUAAAGCUGAGGGUGCAUAGUGUCCCCCACCAGUGUUUCAGGGAGAAAUUUGAACUCGCAUUUGCACACAAACAGCAGGAUUUUAAGAGAGCCCAGGUGAAGGCGUCACCCUCAGAAUGGAAGGGGUGGGGAGAAGGGCCGGGGUGCAGUCUCAGGGAGGAGGUACCCUUAGCUGCAGAAUCACCGUCCUGCACGUGUGUACCUCUGCAAUGUGGUCAAAUAGAACGGCUGUGGACGCGACACCACCCAUUUGCCUUUUAAGUUAGCAAGCCCAAAGUAUGCUUUAAUGUUUACUUUUUAAGAUUUUUAGAAAAGGUAGAAGACGACUCUAUUUCCUAAUAUGGUAAUUACUGCUUUUGUCAAAAUGUGAAUGCUGCGUGCACAUUUCUGCAAUAGCAUUAGUGAACACCAUGUUGAAAUCACAUUUUUUUUUCCCUUUUCCUCCAAUUUUGUGGGAUUCUCGUUCCUUGUUGAGGCACCCUUGGCUAAUGGGAAAAGCACUGGAUCUGGUAGAGAAAAAGAAUUUGAAUCUCCUCUACCACUCUUCACUCAUGGGCUCUUGGGCAAAUUCCCUAAGUUUCCCUGACCUCCAGUUCCAGCAAGGUGGAAUGGGAAGUGGGGCCUCAUCAUAUGGGCAUUGCAGGACUGUUGUGAGGGUCAGAUGAAAUUAUGCAUCCAGAGGUUGGCACCAGAAUACAUUCAAUAAAUAUUAUUUUGGUGCCAUGCUAAGCGUCAGUUAAAAGUUUUAAGGGUUGGGCUGGGUGGUGGCUCAUGCCUGUAAUCCUAGCAUGUUGGGAAGGCAAGGCAGGAGGAUUCCUUGAGCCCAGGACUUAGACCAGUCUGGGCAACAUAGAGAGAUCCUGCUUCUAUAUAAAAAUUUUAAAAAUUAGCUGGACAUGGUGGGUGCAUUUGUAGUGCCAGCUACUCUGGAAGCUGAGGUAGAAGGAUUGCUUGAGCCCAGGAAUUUGAGGCUGCAGUGAGCCAUGAUUGUGUCACUGCACCCCAGCCUGGGCAAGAGUGAGACUUUGUCUCAAAAACAAAGUGUUAAGACUUAAAGUAAUAUAUGAAUUUACAAAUAUUUCUGCAGAUUCCUAGCUUAAGAAAAGAAUGAAAUUAAUGUAAUCCUAAAAUAGUUUAAGUAAAGGAUAGAGUGCUAGAAAGGGGAGACUCCAAGCUCUGUCGUGUCCACAUCAUACUGUGGAUCUUGGCUAAGUCAUUUCUCUUCUCUGGGGUUGCUGUGGUCUGAAGGUUUGUGUUUCCCCCAAAUUCAUAUGUUAAAAUUCUAACCCUCAAGGUGAUAGUAUUAGGAGGUGAUUAGGUCAUAUGGGUGGAGCCCUCAUCAAUGGGAUUAGUGCCCUUAUAAAAGGAGCCCCAGAGUAAUCCCUCAUCCCUUCUGUCACGCGAGGACACAGUGAAAAGAUGGCCAUCUCUGAACCAGGGAGAGGAUCCUCACCAGACACCAAAUCUGAUGUCUUGAUCUUGGACUUCUUAGCCUUCAAAAUGCGUGCUGCCUGCCUCUCGGGGAAUACACUUUAAAUUGAGCCAUGCUUUUAAGAGAAUUAUGAUCUGAUGUACAGCAGAGGGUCAUGGACACCAUGUCCUUGAAGCCACGUGGUAGCAGCCUUAACUACAGUGGAAGGAGCCACUCUGC